UGGGGAAUUUUGGACAAUGGGCGAAAGCCUGAUCCAGCAAUGCCGCGUGUGUGAAGAAGGCCUUCGGGUUGUAAAGCACUUUUGUCCGGAAAGAAAUCCUUGGCUCUAAUACAGUCGGGGGAUGACGGUACCGGAAGAAUAAGCACCGGCUAACUACGUGCCGGCAGCCGCGGUAAUACGUAGGGUGCAAGCGUUAAUCGGAAUUACUGGGCGUAAAGCGCGCGCAGGCGGUUUGCUAAGACCGAUGUGAAAUCCCCGGGCUCAACCUGGGAACUGCAUUGGUGACUGGCAGGCUAGAGUAUGGCAGAGGGGGGUAGAAUUCCACGUGUAGCAGUGAAAUGCGUAGAGAUGUGGAGGAAUACCGAUGGCGAAGGCAGCCCCCUGGGCCAAUACUGACGCUCAUGCACGAAAAGCGUGGGGGAGCAAAACAGGAUUAGAUACCCCUGGUAGUCCACGCCCUAAAACGAUGUCAACUAGUUGUUGGGGAUUCAUUUCCUUAGUAACGUAGCUAACGCGUGAAGUUGACCGCCUGGGGAGUACGGUCGCAAGAUUAAAACUCAAAUGAAUUGACGGGGUCAUAGCUGUUUCCU
rnacentral:rRNA from 1 species